rnacentral:lncRNA from 1 species
CGUUUUGUCACGGCUUUUUUAGAAGGUCAUUGACUCUUGGAUGUAUUACAUCGCACAUUGGGGGUUCAGAAACGCGUGUGCGGUGUACUUUUGAAGGAGGAGAUGUUUUGAACGCCGGGCAUAUCAUUUGCUGUGGUGUGAAGGAGUGCACAGGUUCGUCGUACAAGGAUUAUGCCUGCAGACUUUCCAACUGCGGAAAUGCCCCCACGAGCUGUGGUUCGAAUUCAGGCGCGACCAAACGAUAAAGGGUCACUGCUCGUGCAAAACAGGAAACCUCGCCUUUGACGGCACGGCGUGUGCACUGCGGCAUGCAGGAAAUUUUGUGAUUCUUGUACCUCUUGCCCAUACUGAGAAAACAAUAAAGCAAAUAAUUGCCACUACGACUCGCAGUACCUGUCCGACUUCAGUAGUUCACUACAGCGUUCAGAAAAGCCG